rnacentral:rRNA from 1 species
CGUAGGGUGCGAGCGUUAAUCGGACUUACUGGGCGUAAAGCGUGCGCAGGCGGUUUUGUAAGACAGGCGUGAAAUCCCCGGGCUCAACCUGGGAACUGCGCUUGUGACUGCAAGGCUAGAGUACGGCAGAGGGGGGUGGAAUUCCACGUGUAGCAGUGAAAUGCGUAGAGAUGUGGAGGAACACCAAUGGCGAAGGCAGCCCCCUGGGUCGAUACUGACGCUCAUGCACGAAAGCGUGGGUAGCAAACAGGAUUAGAUACCCUGGUAGUCCACGCCCUAAACGAUGUCAACUAGGUGUUGGGUGGGUAAAACCAUUUAGUACCGGAGCUAACGCGUGAAGUUGACCGCCUGGGGAGUACGGCCGCAAGGUUA